GAUGAACGCUGGCGGCGUGCUUAACACAUGCAAGUCGAACGAAGACAUCUGAGUGCUUGCACUUGGAUGGACUGAGUGGCGGACGGGUGAGUAACGCGUGGGUAACCUGCCUUAUACAGGGGGAUAACAGUUGGAAACGACUGCUAAUACCGCAUAAAGCGCACGGUAUCGCAUGAUACAGUGUGAAAAACUCCGGUGGUAUAAGAUGGACCCGCGUCUGAUUAGCUUGUUGGUGAGGUAACGGCCCACCAAGGCGACGAUCAGUAGCCGGCCUGAGAGGGUGAACGGCCACAUUGGGACUGAGACACGGCCCAAAACUCCUACGGGAGCAGCAGUGGGAAUAUUGCACAAUGGGGGAAACCCUGAUGCAGCGACGCCGCGUGGAGGAAGAAGGUCUUCGGAUUGUAAACUCCUGUUGUUGAGGAAGAUAAUGACGGUACUCAACAAGGAAGUGACGGCUAACUACGUG
rnacentral:rRNA from 1 species